AUUGAACGCUGGCGGCAUGCUUUACACAUGCAAGUCGAACGGUAACAGGUUAAGCUGACGAGUGGCGAACGGGUGAGUAAUGCAUCGGAACGUGCCCGAUCGAGGGGGAUAACGCAGCGAAAGCUGCGCUAAUACCGCAUACGAUCUGAGGAUGAAAGCGGGGGACCGUAAGGCCUCGCGCGAUCGGAGCGGCCGAUGUCAGAUUAGGUAGUUGGUGGGGUAAAGGCCCACCAAGCCAACGAACUGUAGCUGGUCUGAGAGGACGACCAGCCACACUGGGACUGAGACAGGGCCCAAAGUCCUAAGGGGGACAGAAGUGGGGAAUUUUGGACGAUGGGCGAAGGCCUGAUCCAGCAAUGCCGCGUGCAGGAAGAUGGCCUUCGGGUUGUAAACUGCUUUUGUACGGAGCGAAAAGGUUCUCUCUAAUACAGAGGGCUCAUGACGGUACCGUAAGAAUAAGUACCGGCUAACUACGUGCCAGCCGCCGCCGUAA
rnacentral:rRNA from 1 species